CCUGGGGCAGCACGCGAUUACUACAGGCUGCCCCAGCCGUGGGCAGCGGUAGGCCGCACAAGCAGCAGGCGACCUCCUCCACUUCAAGCUCGCAUCUGGAUUUGCAGCCGAUGAUGCGAAGGGGAGCGACCUAGGCAUGCCCGACCCGGACCAUGACGAUGCACAACAAAAGUCUCAGGCCCGCCUUGGAGAUGGUGCCAGGAUUGCCUGCCGUUCACGCUCUCCCUCUUAGCCACUACCGAUCGUCUAGCAAGGUCUCGACGAAUUACAUGAUAUAAGCUGCAAGAUGUGAUUUUGGAUGUUGUUCCCUGACCACUUCUUGGACCGUGCUCUACAUGUCGAGCACCCAACAAGAGGGAGAGGAGGAGCGCAUCCAUGCUCGAACUCGGAGAUGGGAAAGCAGGAAGACGGUAAAUAUGAGCUUGUGUGCACUGGACUUGCAGCUCUACAUGCUCUCAUGUAGACUCCGUGUGUUUAUACAAUAUGGGACACUCGUGGCGGAAUGUGGCAAGCUUGUGCAAACCUCAUGCUGGUAGAAAGGAAGACAAUUUAAAUUCUGGAACUACAAAGAUCAUGUUCAAGAAAUACAGGAGUACAAAGCAAGAGGAUGUGCUCAGCUUCUCUCUGACUUAUUAUGCUUACAUGUCUUUCUGAUUGUCCUGAGCUCCUGUCAUCGAAGCCUUUCACUUUCUAGCCAUCACCUGGUGGUUGGAGGCUACAAAUAAUGAUGCCGCACCGUGGGGAAUAUAAACUGCUUGCCAUCAGGUCGGGAACACCAAACUCCAACCUUAUGGAAGAGACAAAUCAUAUGAUUUGUCGAUCCCCUGUAGAAGAGGACCCUGAAUGCGGAGAAGUUUUCAUUUUGCCCUUUUGUUUGGGUCAACCAUAUGGUUGGAGCGAGAUUCCUUUCUAUUUAUGCCUACAUGAUCUUUGAUGAAAAUACGAGUGGGCAAUAGAGAAAUAUUGAGGUUGUUUCUCAUGUUGUUCAGUAUGCAAUAGUUUAUUCAGAACUACCAAUGUGCCUCCAGGCAUGAUUGCUGAUACGAGUACGGUGUAUAGAUAUACAAAUGACUGAAUUACCAUGCUAUCUAUUUUUGGGAGCUCAUUUGUGUCUCAAUGAAGCAAAAGGAUGGAGUUUCUGGUUCACAUACAUCCUGCUCUCUUAAUCAGCGGAAAAAAAUGAUGAUUGCAAAUUUUGAAGGCUUAUAUAUUGGUUGUUCAUGUGUACUGCCACAUCUCAUAUGUUGCAGUGGUGUUUCAGCAGAAUGGGAAGGUACCACUCGAGCACGUUCACUCGCAGAUUGUUGUAGUGGGGUUUCAGUACAAAAUCCAAUACAAGCGAGAUAGCUAACUGCACCAAUCAGUUA